rnacentral:rRNA from 1 species
GACGAACGCUGGCGGCGUGCUUAACACAUGCAAGUCGAACGGAAAGGCCCCUUUGGGGGUACUCGAGUGGCGAACGGGUGAGUAACACGUGAGUAACCUGCCCUUGACUUCGGGAUAACUUCAGGAAACUGGGGCUAAUACCGGAUAGGAAUCCUUGCUGCAUGGUGGGGGUUGGAAAGCUUCGGCGGUUUUGGAUGGACUCGCGGCUUAUCAGCUUGUUGGUGGGGUAGUGGCUUACCAAGGCUUUGACGGGUAGCCGGCCUGAGAGGGCGACCGGCCACAUUGGGACUGAGAUACGGCCCCGACUCCUACGGGAGGCAGCAGUGGGGAAUAUUGCACAAUGGGCGGAAGCCUGAUGCAGCAACGCCGCGUGCGGGAGGACGGCCUUCGGGUUGUAAACCGCUUUCAGCAGGGGCGAAGCUUGUGGUGACGGUACCUGCAGAAGAAGCACCGGCUAACUACGUG